rnacentral:rRNA from 1 species
GAUGAACGCUGGCGGCGUGCCUAAUACAUGCAAGUCGAGCGAACAGACGAGGAGCUUGCUCCUCUGACGUUAGCGGCGGACGGGUGAGUAACACGUGGAUAACCUACCUAUAAGACUGGGAUAACUUCGGGAAACCGGAGCUAAUACCGGAUAAUAUAUUGAACCGCAUGGUUCAAUAGUGAAAGACGGUUUUGCUGUCACUUAUAGAUGGAUCCGCGCCGCAUUAGCUAGUUGGUAAGGUAACGGCUUACCAAGGCAACGAUGCGUAGCCGACCUGAGAGGGUGAUCGGCCACACUGGAACUGAGACACGGUCCAGACUCCUACGGGAGGCAGCAGUAGGGAAUCUUCCGCAAUGGGCGAAAGCCUGACGGAGCAACGCCGCGUGAGUGAUGAAGGUCUUCGGAUCGUAAAACUCUGUUAUUAGGGAAGAACAAAUGUGUAAGUAACUAUGCACGUCUUGACGGUACCUAAUCAGAAAGCCACGGCGAACUACGG